GCUGAGGACUGGAGGUUAGGACCAGGCUACUAUAUCCUGGCCUGGGGCUGAGGACUGGAGGUUAGGACCAGGCUACUAUAUCCUGGCCUGGGGCUGAAGACUGGAGGUUAGGACCAGGCUACUGUAUCCUGGCCUGGGGCUGAGGACUGGAGGUUAGGACCAGGCUACUAUAUCCUGGCCUGGGGCUGAGGACUGGAGGUUAGGACCAGGCUACUGUAUCCUGGCCUGGGGCUGAGGACUGGAGGUUAGGACCAGGCUACUGUAUCCUGGCCUGGGGCUGAGGACUGGAGGUUAGGACCAGGCUACUAUAUCCUGGCCUGGGGCUGAGGACUGGAGGUUAGGACCAGGCUACUAUAUCCUGGCCUGGGGCUGAGGACUGGAGGUUAGGACCAGGCUACUGUAUCCUGGCCUGGGGCUAAGGACUGGAGGUUAGGACCAGGCUACUAUAUCCUGGCCUGGGGCUGAGGACUGGAGGUUAGGACCAGGCUACUAUAUCCUGGCCUGGGGCUGAGGACUGGAGGUUAGGACCAGGCUACUGUAUCCUGGCCUGGGGCUGAGGACUGGAGGUUAGGACCAGGCUACUAUAUCCUGG